CCAGCGCGCCGCUCAUGCCGUGCUGGGGGCCUUGAGCGAGUGGAAGGGCUCCGGGGUCGAGCAGAGGGCGCGGAGUCCUGGCCUCGGAUGCAAGAGUGAACUGGGUCCCGUGGCAGGUUCGGAUAACCGCAGCGGCAGCGUGCGUCUCCCUCCCUUUCGAUCUUGCUCUGGCUCCCGCCUUCCCGAGUGGCUCAGAGUGGCGAGCGCGCCACAAGCUUAUUUGACUGGAAUGUUUGGAGAAAGUAAAAGAAGUCAACAACAAGCCAGAACACCUUGCAAAUAUUGUUGA
rnacentral:lncRNA from 1 species